rnacentral:lncRNA from 1 species
AUGAAGGAAAUUUGGUCUAAGGAGGCUCAAAACUUGCUGGAUAUCUGGACCUGGAAAGUGUAUCACUUACACCAGUUCUCUUUUCCUUUCAAUAUCAGGAGUCCUCCCCUGGGAGAUGUGGAGUAUAGCCAGAAAGUACAUCUCUGUGGGCUGCCAAGAGAAGUGGCAAAAGACCCUGGAAAACCUAGUGUUAGAAAUCUGGAGACAUGGGCAUCCAUGAGAAACAAGAAGUGGCCAGAGAGAAUGCUGAAUCAUGGAAAGCGUACUUUGCUCUUUUAGUUUUUCUCCUUUGCUAUAUGACCUGGCUGGCUAAGUCACCAGCAGGAAACUGCAAUUUGAGAAGUGACAACUCUCUGGAUGCAAGACACAGUUUCCAGGAUGAUACCAGUUAGAUAAAUGCUCCUGUUUUCUCAGUAAAGCAAUGCAAGCAGUGUGCUUCAUCGGUAACUGCUGAAGAGAGCCCUAGUUUUCCCAAUUACAGGAUAAAAUUGGCCUGGCUUCCUCAGAGUCUUUAAGUCUGGUUAGAAUUCAAAUGAGGUUCCUUCCCAUUUUGCAAAUCCAUGCAGACCUCAUUCUAAGCCAAUGCAGGUGUAUCUGGCUUGCUGGCAACUAUAAGCAUUCUUGACAUAUUUACACUCCAUUAAAAAUUUCCCUUCCUCCCACAUCUGUGUUGAGAUCCCCCACUCAUAGUUGGCUGAGUGCACUGGUUUCGAGAAUCAAACAAAGCAGCACAUAAUCAAUUUUCCCAGUUUAAGCAACUAUGGAAAUCCAAUAUAAUUUCCAUUUAUUCAUCUAAUGUAAUGUCCACUCUCCUCAUCUAAAUAAGCAUCCCUUGGAGACACUCUCGGAUAUCCGGCUCUUCCUUCCAGCCCCUGCCCAGCUAAGUUUCAGAGUCCCAACUGUGAGGCCAACUCCAAAGAGCAGCGAUAGAGGGAAUGGAUGAGAGGUUAUAAAAUUGGCCUUUAUGGCACAAUAGAAAUUUUCUUUAUGAACCAAUCUCCAUA